rnacentral:rRNA from 1 species
CCUACGGGAGGCAGCAGUGAGGGAUAUUGGUCAAUGGCGGAAACCCUGAACCAGCAACGCCGCGUGAGGGAAGACGGUUUUCGGAUUGUAAAACCCUGUCCUCUGUGAAGAUAAUGACGGUAGCAGAGGAGGAAGCUCCGGCUAACUACGUGACAGCAGCCGCGGUAAUAAGUCGGGAGCCAGCGUUGUCCGGAUUUACUGGGUGUAAAGGGUGCGUAGGCGGCUUUGCAAGUCAGAAGUGAAAUCCAUGGGCUUAACCCAUGAACUGCUUUUGAAACUGCAGAGCUUGAGUGGAGUAGAGGCAGGCGGAAUCCGCGGUGUAGCGGUGAAAUGCGUAGAGAUCGGGAGGAACACCGGUGGCGAAGGCGGCCUGCUG